CUUUUUUUUCAUAGACAUGUGACAUCAUUACCAUAUUUUCAAAAACAGUUUAAUGAAAAGGAAAUAAAAAUGAAUAAUUUCAGUGAUUCUUGUCAAUCUCCUCCACCAAUAACGAUAUGUAGUAGUUCAGAGUCCACAUAUUCCUAUUGCUCUUUAAAUGAAGAAAAAAAAGUUAUAAGAACCAACCAAUCACGUUUUUGUAAAAUUGGAAAAGAGGCAAGAAAAUUAGCAUAUCAUAAUUGCCUCAUGGAUGUCGCACUUAUAGUUGAAAAUUGGAAAAUAUAUGCUCAUAAAUUGGUUCUAGCUGCUCAUAGCGAAAAAUUAGAAAAUUUAUUUCUAACUGUUGAUAAAAAUCCUAAAUGUAUAUCUCUGAAUAAGCUUAAUGUUACUGCAGAUGCUGUUAAGAAAACUGUAUCAUGGAUGUAUGGUCAUUGUAUGAAAGUGACGCCAUCUUGUUGGAUAGAAGUAGUUAAAGUUGCAAGACAACUAAAAAUUAAUGAUUUAUCAUGGAAGUUAGAAUCAAAGUUACCCGAGAUGCUAAAUUUAUGCGAGGAAGGGUUGGAAAAUUUUAUUCAUAGUGAAGCAUUUAAGGUUAAAAAAAAGGAUUUCACUUAUUAUAUACUUAACAGCCUUUAUGAUUUAAUCUAUAACACUAGAGAUUAUAUUGUGUUGAUAAUUUCAGUUCUAUGUAAUAUGGGGUUUCAGUUAUCAUUCAAUACUCAUAUUCUUUUUGAUUAUAUUUUAUAGUAAUUACAUAGAAAAUCUAAAAAUCUAUAUUCUCUUUUAUUUUAAGGAACUCUCUUUUGAAGGCGUCAAGUAUCUUUUGUCGUCUCCUUUAUUAGCUACGAAAGACAAGGACGUUUUAGCUGCACAGGGAGCUUGCAUUUGGGUAAAAUCGUGUUUAAGAGAAAGAAAAGAUCAUUUACGCUGUUUGAUUAGCUGUUUAGAAGUGACUAGAAACUGCUUAUAUGAAAUUUUAACCUACUUCAACUUAGUAAAUCAAUACGAAGGCAAAUAAGAUUUCUAAUCUUAAGUAAUCACCUUCUUACCUAUUUUUUUAAAUCACUACUCCUUUAUAUUCUUGUAUUUACAUACAUUUUACCUUGAAAAACACAUAUACAUUAUAAUUAAGUUUUCAUUUUCAACUGCGUUUAAGGCAUAUACAUGCCAUUGUUAGUUGACUACUUAAUGGAUUUUACCACUAUCGUAACAGUAUUAUACAAAGACGACAAAGUUUCUUUAAAAAAUGACUUUUGAACUGAGUUUAUCCUAUUUUUUAUGAAAUAAAGUUUAGGAAAUUUAUUAAUUGGCCUACAUUUAGUCAACUUUCUUUCCUUCAUCCUCAACAAAUUCUUUUUAGAGAUUAGGCAAAGUUACCUCAAGUAAUAAAACAGACCUUUUAUUAUCCUAAAAUUUCUUAUCGGCUUACUAUUUAUUUCCCAGAGCUUAGCUUAUAAGUUAGAUAUGGAAAAAAUUGUUAAAAUUGGCUAUACUAUUAAAAAUGCCGAAGUGGAGUGUACAAUUUGUACAAAGUCUUGGGUUGAUAAUGAUCCUCGAAUGUUGCCUUGCCAGCAUACUUUUUGUUAUCACUGUCUAGAUGAAUUACAGGAAAAUUCGAUGUCGACAAAAAUUCUUCAAUGCCCCGCUUGCAGGGCCAAAUAUCCUUGGCCAGAUGAAGGAACCAGUGGAUUUCCCAAGAAUAGAUUUGCGACUGCCCUCGAAGAGAAUACGAUAUUCUAUUGUUCGAGGCAUCCGCUUAACAAGUCGAUCGAAAGACCUAUUGUCUGCAAAGAUUGUAAACAGAAGCGUCUUUGCCUUGAGUGCUUAUUAGAACACAGAACUUGUGAUCUGGCAUCCCACGAUGAUCAUAUAGUGGAACAGACUGCGAUUGUCGACAAAUAUAGCCGCAAGGCUGAUGAUCUGGAGAAAAGAUUUAAAGAAAAUAGGUCGAUUCUUGUGAAUCGUGUAGAGGAAGUAACGGCUUCUGUGAUUGAUAUAAUACGUCAUCAGUCGAAUGACAUUCUUAAAGAUAUCGAUCAACAUUUCCGUUUAAAUGCUAAUCUAUUAAAAGCAUUUAGGGAAUGCUUAAAAAAGGAAUUCCUUACUAAUGAAUUAUUAGGCAAUCGAUUAUCAGAAAUUUGCAACAGAUCUAUAGAAUUCGUAGAAUUAUUUGAUCCAAGCUUUAAUACUUCUUAUCUAGGCCGAAUUAACGUUGCAGAAUCGAGAUUUACGGCCGUUAAAUUCUGGAAAGAGAAAGAGUUUCAGGCGCAGAGCAAUCUUUUAACAUAUUACAAUGAUGACUUGUUGGUUGAUGUUACAUCACAUGAAGAUAAGGAGAAAUACGUAAUUAAGGACGUUCUCACAGGAACAAUUUUACAUGAGGAGAAAAACGAAAUAAUCGACAUAUUUAUAAUUCAUUCAUCGACAUUUUAUUUCGUAUCCAAUAGCGUAAUAUCUAAAUUUCAAUUAGAUUCAUCUGACAGAGAGAUAAUUAAUGGGUUGAUCGACGUUGUUAAGAUAACGGGUAAUAAGAUAAACGAUGAAACAGAUAUACUAGGAGUUUUAUGCGCUGGCGAAGACGAUAGCACUCAGCAGACGUUGGCUUUAUUAAUGGACGAUGAAAUCAGAUGGUUGAGAACCUUAGAAAGCGGUUUAGAGAUUCUUAGUUUCUGUAUUUUAAACAUCGGUGACUUACUAUGUUUAACUAAUUCUAAAACAAUUGAGAGAUAUUGUGCAGAGACGGGAAAUCAGCUGCAGCAAACUUCAGAAAAUAUCAGCCUAUUCGGAAAUAUCUCUAGUUGGUCUUUCGGUGGCUUUUUACUGCUCGAAAAAGAAAGUAACAAAAUAAAGCAUUUUAAUGAUAAUUUUAUACUAAUUUCUACUAUUGAGAUUGAAGACCUAAACGAAGACGUCGAUUACAUACAAACAUCACUAAAUGGUAAAAUAUUGAUAGGAGUAAAAGGUAAAGGAAGCAUUCUUUAUUCAUCGUAUUCGUACUGAUGAAUAAAUUAAUAUAUCGACUAAAAAACUAUUGGCAAUAAUAAUAAUAAUUAUUAUUAUUUGCACUAGUAUAAUCAAUAAUCAAUAAUAAUCUGGAAUGUGAUUUAUCUUUUCUUUUACUUUUCUUGAAUUUCUCUCCCCCAAUAAAAAUUCUAAUGUAAGAUAAAACUUGUAUACAAUGGCAAUAAAAUACAGUGAAUAUCUAGCUCACUGUUUCUUUUAUGAGUAUGACACUAGAAUAUUUUCAAUUGAUAAUUUACCCUUUGAAGCACUUAAUAGCAAUUGUAUCCAAUUUGUGUGCAGGUGUCAAAUAUAUAUAUAAUUGUGAAAAAUUAAUUAUACUCUUUUUCAUUAUUUUAUCGAGUAUGAGAAUAGAGUAUAACACAAUUUUACCCUUGAUAUAACGACAGAAGGUUGGUCAUAUAGGAGAUUAUGAGAUAGAUUAUACCUAUCGAAGUUAGCGACCUGGAAAAAUCUAUUUUCAAUCUUCUAUAAAACUGGAGAUGUAAUCGUAUAAGUAUAAAAGUAUCUAACACAUAUUAAAGUAUAUAAUUUGCAUAUAAAUUAAAGGAAUAUCAGAGAAAGGGAAAGAGAGUGAGUGAGAGGAGUAUCAGUCUGUAGUUUAAGAAAAAGUUUAUCUCGGUGAAUAAAGUUGUCCUUGAGAACGAUAAGAAAACAUCUUCCAUCGAUAAUUAUAGAAAGAAUAGCAGUCUUUGCAUGAUACUUAAACAUCAUUUAUCUGACAUUUAUUAUCUUUUUUUGAGCAGAAUGUUUUGUUCUCAGAAAAUUUACACUUUCCUUUAUUACUUUUUUUCCCACAAG
rnacentral:misc_RNA from 1 species